GUCAGCUUUCCUGAGGAGUGGUCUC
rnacentral:piRNA from 1 species